rnacentral:lncRNA from 1 species
UGGGUUAGGUAAGGUUAAAUUGGGUUUUGAUGUAAAUGGGUUAAAAUUGGCCUACAAGAGCUGCCCCUCUUUGCUUAUUAUUGUGUAACGGGAAUAAAGCAAAGACACAAAGAAAGGCCAAUUUUGCCCGGUCUUACUAAGUAUGGACUUCUUUGGUGCUCUUCUCAUCCAGGUAGUCUCUUUUCAAACCACUGUAUCUUGUUGUCUUGAUCAAAUCCACUGCAUCUUCUGAUAUAUGCCUUGUAGCUUCGAUUUACUCCAAGGUGACUUCAAAAAGAUAAGAUCUACAACUUCAAUCUGCUCUUCCAUCACUUUAGUCAGAUAAAAUUUGUGGUCUUCUCUUUUGCAACUUUUAGAAAGGCAAGAUCUGAUAUCAUCGAUCAGCUCCACUGCAACUUCAAUUAGCUUCACUGUAACUUCAGGGAUAUAAAAUCUGUGUCUUCGAUUAAUUCCAGUCUUUAUUCUUUACUCGGCAUGUGAUCCUGGGCUUAACUCAUUUCUCG